rnacentral:lncRNA from 1 species
GUUGCCAUCCGCUCAAAUCUACAGGCAUCCCGCAUGUUCCCGGGCUCGUCUCCCCAAUACAGGGCACCAAGGCUGUAGACUGCGCAGACCUCCUGGAGACAGAUGGAAGUUCCUUGGGUCGACAGAUUACAGCUUCUGGAGCCCCCGACUCCCUUCAACUCCGUGAUGGACACCCACUGUCCAGGGAGAGGAUGCCUGGAAAUAACAGCCGGGAUCUACAGUGGCCAUAAGAGUUGUCUCUGUCUUGCUACAUAGACAAACUGGUGUUCCUGAGUGAGGAUUGUGCCCUGAGAUGGGGGAUUCAGUUUCUUCAUUUAUAGUUGGAAGUGUGUGAAGCCACUUGGGAAGGGUUUUUCUCUCCACUCUGUGACAACAGGCAAGAGUGAGGGUCCAACAAUACAGAGGAAGUGACGUGUCGCUGCUACUCUUCCAUGCCCAGUGCCAGGAGCGACGGUACACUCCAGAGUGCUGUGCCCUGAUGGGCCUUUGAGCGGCCAGUGCAGUGGAUCAUCAGCCCUGUCUCCCAAGAGCU